UACGGAGGGUGCAAGCGUUAUCCGGAUUUACUGGGUUAAAGGGUGCGUAGGUGGGUCUGUAAGUCAGUGGUGAAAUCUCCGGGCUUAACCCGGAAACUGCCAUUGAUACUAUAGGUCUUGAAUUAUCUGGAGGUGAGCGGAAUAUGUCUGUAGCGGUGAAAUGCUUAGAUAUGACAUAGAACACCAAUUGCGAAGGCAGCUCACUACGAUAUAUUGACAC
rnacentral:rRNA from 1 species